CAAGCAAAUUAUUAUUAACGCUUGUUUAUAAGAGGAUAAUCGGGAAGUUGGUGCCAUGUUUAUGAAAUCCAACGCUGCCCCCGCAACGGUAAUAGCGUCACUCUUUAAUAAUGUCUGACAGCCUAAGCCCGGAGACCGGCCUUAAUUAUUUAUUAGCU
rnacentral:ncRNA from 2 species